GAGCAUGGCUCAGAGUGAACGCUGGCGGUAGGCCUAACACAUGCAAGUCGAACGGCAGCACAGAGGAGCUUGCUCCUUGGGUGGCGAGUGGCGGACGGGUGAGGAAUACAUCGGAAUCUACUCUGUCGUGGGGGAUAACGUAGGGAAACUUACGCUAAUACCGCAUACGACCUACGGGUGAAAGCAGGGGAUCUUCGGACCUUGCGCGAUUGAAUGAGCCGAUGUCGGAUUAGCUAGUUGG
rnacentral:rRNA from 1 species